AGCUUUGCACAGUGACGGUAUCGGAGCCAAUGAGGUUUAUCCGAGGGGCGAUUAUUGCUAAUUGAAAACUUUUCCCAAUACCCUGCUGUGAUGACUUGAAAUAUAGUUGGCAUUGGCAAUUUUUGACAGUCUCUAUGGAGA
ensembl:snRNA U4 U4 spliceosomal RNA